rnacentral:rRNA from 1 species
AGUGAACGCUGGCGGUAGGCCUAACACAUGCAAGUCGAACGGCAGCACAGUAAGAGCUUGCUCUUACGGGUGGCGAGUGGCGGACGGGUGAGGAAUACAUCGGAAUCUACUUUUUCGUGGGGGAUAACGUAGGGAAACUUACGCUAAUACCGCAUACGACCUACGGGUGAAAGCAGGGGAUCUUCGGACCUUGCGCGAUUGAAUGAGCCGAUGUCGGAUUAGCUAGUUGGCGGGGUAAAGGCCCACCAAGGCGACGAUCCGUAGCUGGUCUGAGAGGAUGAUCAGCCACACUGGAACUGAGGCACCGUCCCGACUCCUACCGGGGGCAGCAGUGGGGGAUAUUGGGCCAUUGGGGGAAACCUGAUCCAGCCGUGCCGCGUGGGGGGAGAAGGCCUUCGGGGUGUUAAGCCCUUUUUUUGGGAAAGAAAAAGAACAGGUUAAUACCCCGGUGGUUUGACGGUACCCAAAUAAUAAGCACCGGCUAACUUCGUG